AGUUCAGUCGGUUAGAAUACCGGCCUGUCACGCCGGGGGUCGCGGGUUCGAGUGAACACCCGGA
rnacentral:tRNA from 1 species